AUUGAACGCUGGCGGCAUGCCUUACACAUGCAAGUCGAACGGCAGCACGGGAGCAAUCCUGGUGGCGAGUGGCGAACGGGUGAGUAAUGUAUCGGAACGUGCCCAGUCGUGGGGGAUAACGUAGCGAAAGCUACGCUAAUACCGCAUACGAUCUAUGGAUGAAAGCGGGGGACCGUAAGGCCUCGCGCGAUUGGAGCGGCCGAUAUCAGAUUAGGUAGUUGGUGGGGUAAAGGCCUACAAAGCAGAAGAUCUGUAGCUGGUCUGAGAGGACGACCAGCCACACUGGGACUGAGACACGGCCCAGACUCCUACGGGAGGCAGCAGUGGGGAAUUGUGGACAAUGGGCGCAAGCCUGAUCCAGCAAUGCCGCGUGCAGGAUGAAGGCCUUCGGGUUGUAAACUGCUUUUGUACGGAGCGAAAAGGCUCUCUCUAAUACAGGGGGCUCAUGACGGUACCGUAAGAAUAAGCACCGGCUAACUACGUGCCAGCCGCCGCGGUAAGAC
rnacentral:rRNA from 1 species